UCUUAUGAAAUUUCAAGCGUGCUGCGAAAACAUAUGGGAUGAAUAUCACAUUUGUCAACAUUUGUUAAAAGUUGUAUACUUAUUAUCUAAAGCUCAGUCUCAUUUCUUCAAGAGCGGUUAUUUGUAAGUUCUUCGACCAAAAUUUAAUACAUUCCAAAUACUUUGCGAUUGAGAACUUUGAGCUCAAGAACAAUUGGGUGAAUGGAAUUUUGAAUAGGAAGCACGAGAUUAUGAGAUUAGAAACCUCCAUUUCUCAACUAGUUCUUCUUGGAGUUGAAGAGUAGGAGGUUACCCGUCAUAAUAAUUCGUUGAUUUCACCUAUUUGAGAUUCGUCGAGGAAUUGAAUAAUUUUGUUAAUCGGAAGUCGGAUUUUAGUUGCACCCAAGGCAGUGGCCUAGUGGUCAAUGAAGUGGGGGAAGAACUACAAGAAACCGAUUCAAAUCCAGCGGAGGCAAAAACACUAUGUGAUUUAUUUCCAUCUUCCUAAGCUUAGGUGGUCAGAAUUACCUAGACAACCUCGCUUGAAGUCCGCAAUCGUGGAGUGCCAUUAUAAGUUCUUCACCGCGAUCGGGCCACUCAUGCCAUGAUCAUAAGAGGUAGCAGGCACCCGAUGAAAUAGUCGACGUGCGCGCAAGUUAUCCAGACACUAUCGUGAUAAAAGAAAGUAUCGUUUGAGUUAAUUGACAAUGGAGGUGAAUGAUGGCUUGAACUGUGUCUUUUUUUAUAAGGAGGAUGAUAUUUUCGGUCCAAAUAGGCUGGUUUUUAUUGCUCUCAGGCAUGGCAUUUGUAGCUGAAUGCCAACUUGCUAAGUCCUGAAGAUCACAAAGAUGAAGGAACCCCAGUCGACCAAAACUGUCAUCAUUGCAGGGAAAAUGCCACUGAGGAGGAAGCAUAUUUUGAUUAAAACAUCAAACAAAGAAUGUAUAGGGCGUGGAACAGGAAUUUCAGAGUUAUAUUUGUCAGACAACUCAUCCCAAGAUUUAACUAACCCACUUUUUCCUGAUUCUGUGGAAACACCAACAGUUUUGGGAUCUUUGCACAAAUAGCUGGUUGGAUCAUUGUUUAUUUUCGCUAGCCGGUAUACAUAGAAUAUGCACUGAUUAUACACGUAUUGUACAUAUAUUAUACAUUCUCCUGCUAUUUUUUGUUUAAGCGGUUGGACGAAUGACUAUUUAGGUUAAUUCUUCAAAGAUUUUUUUUUUACCUUUUCAAGGCCAUAAGAAAGUUGUAGUAGCUGCCACAAUAACUGAAGGUUGCCAACCUUAGUACUGUAAUAGCCAGAGGUGGAUUCAGGAUUUGAAGGCUCCGGGUGCCAUAUUGCUUUGGACUUUGA